ensembl:lncRNA
GCAUUUUUAUCAACAGGCUGGACAACUGUGUGCACAUGUUCACCCAAGUCCAACAAAACCUCAUGAGUAUAGAGAAGCAGCAAAGGUCACAUGGAAAGAAAUAAAGCCAGAGUGUCAGAGACAGAGGGGAGGUUAAUGGUUGCCCCUUUCUUGCUCUAUUAGAACACAGCACCUCAGAUAAAGAUUAGAUAUCCUUCGUCCACAUGACAAAUGGCUGUGAUCGGGUGCUGAUGCAGAGCUCUGAAUCACCGUAAAGAGACAUUUUUAGAGUUCUGUGGAUGGAUUUGCUCCGUGGAGAGUGAAUGUAGCCCAGAGGAAUACCUCGGUCUCCCAGUGCAGGAACAAUAUAUCAGAUGAGUGUUUUCAGUCCUCCAUAGGGGCCUUUGUGCCUCGAGCUCUCUGCCUGAAUUAUCAAUUUAGAUGUUGAAGCCAAAGAAAAGGACAGCUUUGGACCAUUUUGUGGCGUGGUGUGUUCUCCAGAGGUGGAAAAUAAGCUAUUACUGUUUUGCUGCAUAUGCCCAGGUCUGUAAUUUCAGGUCUCAUUUUAUUUUGAAACAGAAACAGUUUUGAUUUUUUUUUUUUCAUUUUAUUUUUAGACCAUAACAGUUUCUCUUGGGAUGGAAUUAUGAGCACAAAUAAGGAUGUUUUUAUACAUGCUGUAAAAAUUCAAGGUUCAGUCAAGGAUUCUCCAGGAAGCAAUGAAAGAAUAAAGCCAGAGGGUAUAUUACAAAGUUCCCCACAAACACAAAGCAUCAUAUACAGUAGCUUUAGCAUCCAGAGAGGGGAAAGUGCAAUCUAUUUUUUAUCUGUAUAUUUGCCAGAUAAUUGGCAUGCUACUAUACUUAUGGGGGAAAAACGCCCGUCCUCAUGAGUUUGAAGGCAUUUGACUCAUUUUGAGGUUACAGUAUAUAUUUAGGUUUAGGCUGAGAGUUAGGGUUAGGUGUGUGUGUGCGUGUGUGUGUGUGUGUGUGUGUGUGUGUGUGUGUGUGUGUGUGUGUGUGUGUGUGUGUGUGUGUGUGAACACUGGUACUCUGGAUAAAUGGCUGUAAG